ACUUAUGGUCUUCGUUCUCGGCCUUGUCCACCCCCUGAUCGAUAUUCUCCUUCUCGCUAUGGUCUUUCGACCGUUGUUGAGCCGACUUCUUAUCGAGAUGCUAUUGUUCAUCCUGAAUGGCAGUUUGCCAUGGCAGAGGAGAUUGCUGCCCUUGAACGCACCGUCACGUGGGAUCUGGUUUCUCUUCCUCCCUGUGUUCGCCCCAUCACUUGUAAGUGGGUCUAUAAGAUUAAGACUCGCUCUGAUGGUUCUCUUGAGCGUUAUAAAGCUCGUCUUGUGGCUCGUGGCUUUCAGCAGGAGCAUGGACGUGAU
rnacentral:rRNA from 1 species